rnacentral:rRNA from 1 species
GGGAAACUCACCAGGUCCAGACUGGGUAAGGAUGUACAGAUUGACAGCUCUUUACAGAUUCUCAGGGUGGUGGUGCAUGGCCGUUCUUAGUUGGUGGUGUGAAUUGUCUGCUUAAUUGCGUUAACGAACGAGACCUUGACCUACUAAAUAGUUGCAAGUAUCUUCGGAUAUCUGACAGCUUCUUAGCGGGACUUUGCGCAUUUUAGCGUAAGGAAGUUCGAGGCAAUAA